AGUGAACGCUGGCGGUAGGCCUAACACAUGCAAGUCGAACGGCUGCACAGGAGAGCUUGCUCUCUGGGUGGCGAGUGGCGGACGGGUGAGGAAUACAUCGGAAUCUACCUUUUCGUGGGGGAUAACGUAGGGAAACUUACGCUAAUACCGCAUACGACCUACGGGUGAAAGUGGGGGACCGCAAGGCCUCACGCGAUUAGAUGAGCCGAUGUCCGAUUGGCUAGUUGGCGGGGUAAUGGCCCACCAAGGCGACGAUCGGUAGCUGGUCUGAGAGGAUGAUCAGCCACACUGGAACUGAGACACGGUCCAGACUCCUACGGGAGGCAGCAGUGGGGAAUAUUGGACAAUGGGCGCAAGCCUGAUCCAGCCAUACCGCGUGGGUGAAGAAGGCCUUCGGGUUGUAAAGCCCUUUUGUUGGGAAAGAAAUCCUGUCGAUUAAUACUCGGUGGGGAUGACGGUACCCAAAGAAUAAGCACCGGCUAACUUCGUGCCAGCAGCCGCCGUAAUAC
rnacentral:rRNA from 1 species